AUCGCUUCUCGGCCUUUUGGCUAAGAUCAAGUGUAGUAUCUGUUCUUAUCAGUUUUCAAGAUUGCUUUGGCUAGGGGCGCCUGGGUGGCUCAGUUGGUAAAGCAGCUGCCUUCGGCUCAGGUCAUGAUCCCAGGGUCCUGGGAUCGAGCCCCACAUCAGGCUUCUUGCUCCACAGGAAGCCUGCUUCUCCCU